CUGGGCUUGAACUGCAGUGGACCGGUGCAGAGAUGUGCCUUUUCGCAAGAACUGCUGCAGAGGUGCUGCAUGGCUGUCGUCAGCUCGUGUCGUGAGAUGUUGGGUUAAGUCCCGCAACGAGCGCAACCCUUACCCGUAGUUGCCAGCGCGUCAUGGCGGGAACUCUACGGGGACUGCCCGGGUUAACCGGGAGGAAGGUGGGGAUGAUGUCAAGUCCUCAUGGCCCUUAUGUCCAGGGCUACACACGUGCUACAAUGGGCGAUACAAACCGUUGCAAAGUCGCGAGAUGGAGCUAAUCGGAGAAAGUCGUCCUCAGUUCGGAUUGUAGUCUGCAACUCGACUACAUGAAGGUGGAAUCGCUAGUAAUCGUGUAUCAGAAUGAUACGGUGAAUA
rnacentral:rRNA from 1 species